AUUUUAAAACAUUACAUGGCGCCCGAUUACUGAGGUCUAAAGGUUCAGGGUACGCCCCCGGUCUUCGGUCUUUUGCUCGAGGAUCGGCUGGUCAUUCGUUGUGUAUUUUUUUUUUGUAACGUGUAAAAAGAACAAAUUGUGUGGUGGUGGUGUUUCUUCAUUUACCCCCUAGUGAAUAAGAUUUAUCGCGUUCAUAUUGAUGUGUGCUUUAAAUGAAACAAGUUAAUUUACAUAUACCUACUAUUUUGUAUAACUGUUUUUAAAUUUACAUUUGCAUUAUAUAUUUCUUUUGCUUUGCAUACUUUUAAAGUUUGGACUUUGAACUCGUAUAGCAUUUUAUAACAUCACAUUGUUAAAAAAAAAUUAUACUGCGUUGCAGCUAUUUUGCUGUAUAAUUAAACUUCUUAAAUUGUUUCUUAAAAUUUUGAGCUUACUUUUUUGUUUUUAUCACAAAUUUGCUUUUAUAAAACAAAACAUUAUAUACCCUACAAAGGUUUUUUUUUAAUGUAACUUUAAAUUUUUAACAUUCUUGAGUAAAAUUAUUAUUGUUGCUAGUUUACUGCUUAGCUUUGCUAUAAGUACAGCUUUUUUCUUCAAAAUUUUAUGAAACUUGGCGUGAGUUUAGAAUUAUAUUUUUGUUUUAUACCCUCAAGGUUUAUUUACAAUUUGUAAAUUCUUUCAAAUUAUGCAACAAUUUAUAAAAGCAUUUCGGCCUAAUUUCAAUUAAACAUUUAACUUGCUAUCUAGUAAAAUUAUAGUUCUUGGUUGUAUAACCACGGCUAUACAUAAGUACCUACAUGCUUGUUAUCUAUCUUGCAUUCCUUUUGAGCUUAUAGCGAAUAAACUGGUUUUGUUUUUUUUACACGCUCGUUAGUAUUACGUGUACGAUCUUUUAUUGUUGAGCUAUUGUUUGCUUAAUAGUUUUGUAUUCUAUUACCGGAUAAAUUCUAAUAAGUAAAUCUUUUGAAUUGGAUUGGAAAUACGUUAAAUAAACAACAUUUAUACAUUGUUAGUUUUACAAAUAACUUAUUUUUUUUACAUUUGCAUUUUGUUUAUUUGCAUUUAUUUUUACUUUUCAAGUAGGUAUUUAGUUAAUGAAAAUAUUCUUUGAUUAUUUUUUCUUUAAAACUUAGUACUUAGUUAAAUCUUUGUUAAAGUACAUUGGUCAUUCAUUUUUUUUUAAUCAUGGCAUUGGAAGAACGUCCAAUUAAAUUUCAUCUAUUACGUAAAGAUGAAAUAAUUUACGAGGUAUUAUUUCGUGGUGCAGGGCCACCACUUGUACUAUACAUCUUCACAUUUUGAAGGUGUGGGUACACCGGCAGCGUUGGGGAAUCAUUAGGUUAGUUGUCUUUUAGGUUAGUUAUAGGAGCCGAUUUACUGGUGGACGCGCGGCCGCUGUGGGGCUCGCCGCGCCGCCACUGGCAAAUUGUGGCCUAUUAUAUUGUGGACGGUGGACGUGUGGGCAUACCCUAGGUUCCCCAUACUGCCACUGUCCACAUACAUUUUUAUUAUUUUUUUUCUAUCUUUAUAUCCGAGCAGCUUGCGGGUGGACGCGCGGCAGCACCGGCGGCACGCCGCGCCGCCAUCAACAAGUUGGGUCGUUUUUUUUUUAUAUCUUUUUUUAUAUUUUUUUUGUUUCGCGUUAGGUAGGGAUUAGUACCUAAUCGUGUGGUUUGUUGAUGGUUGGGGUCGAGCACUCGCCAAUUGUAAGGUGAGGUCACUUCCCCACCAUUUUAAGAUGUUGAGGGAGUGGUGGUUGUGACUGAUGGCUUUUGAAGUCGUUAGUGUUCGUUGGUGGACGUAGUUAUUGCUACGGACACGUAUUAUUGUUGUAAUGAGUCAUUGCGACUUGCUUACCGACAUGUUUUUGGCGCUCGUAUGCGCGCUAUUGAUGCGAUUUCUUGGAUGCGAAGUAUUUCUUGGAUGCGAAGUAUUUCUUGGAUGCGAAGUAUUUCUUGGAUGCGAAGUAUUUUUUGGAUGCGAAGUAUUUUUGGAUGCGAAGAAUUUCUUGGAUGCUAUCAGAUGUUGUUGUGCUCAUGGUGAGCACGGGUGGUUUAUGUGCCGUCUCGGCAAGUUUUUACGUUGCGCGGCCUCCGCCGGCAAUGGCAUUUCUGCCUUUAUUUUUUUUUCUAUUCUUUUUAAGUUUAUCUUUUUACUGUUUGUACCGAAUGGCAUUUUUUGCCUUUAUUUAUUUUCAUUGAUAUAGUUUUACUUUUUUAUUUUAAAUUAUUUCUCUUUUAAGUUAAACUUGAAUAUUUUUGUGGAGGUUUGAGUUUUGGUUUGUUUGAGGGAUCAGCUGGAGGGCCAGCUGGGAUUUCCUCGUUUGUUUUAUUUUUUUAAUUAUUUUUUUUUCACUCGGAAAUCCUUUUGGGUGGGGAGGUAUUGUAGUGCCGUUUCUUUCAGCCUCCGGAUUAGUUACAGGGGACCCGUUUUAUAGCUUUUUUGUGUAGUAUUGGACACAGCGCCAUCUCGCGUUGUUCAGUGGAAGGUCCGGGACCAUCGACUUGCUAUCGUUGGGCUCCGCAGUCGACGACUUUCCAUCAGUAACCGGAGGAUGGUGUGUGCCGAUAUUAUACGGAAGGCUAUAUCUUGGAGUCCCUUGUCAAGUAGCUGCUGAAGAAUGUUGGUGUCAAUAUUUAAUACAAAAUUAUAUUUGGGAAUUUUCGGUCUGUCUCCUGUCCUUGGAGUUGUUAAUAACUUGCAUGUUGAGUGUGCGACGGCGGCGUCAUCUAACGGACGAUUGAGGUCGUACUAGCUUUGUCCGUGACGUAGGCGUUGAAUUGGGCGAUUUAUAUAGUCCUGCGCCUGCGAGCUGCCGCAUUCCCCAGACAGCGCUCCGCCGAGCGGGUGUGUCCACACCUUCGAUUUUUAGUGUGAAUUUCGGGUGAGAAUUUGUCUUUAUAAUGCGUUAUAGCAUUUUAAUCGUAAUUAUCAGUGUCGAUAUAUGUUGUCAUUGUUUUUCUUUUGGGCGGUUUAUAAGCGUGUGACCGGUGGCCCGCAACUCCGUCGCACGCGCCGCCAAAUCUUCGUAAAUUUUUAUUCUGGUAAGUAAGUUAUACAUUUCUGUCAUCUGUCGUGACUCGUGAGUGUUAGUGUUUGCGGUCAAGAUUUUAAUGUGCGAUUUGUUCCGAAUAGGUGUGGUUUUGGUGUCCGUGGCGUGGACACGUUGCUCCGCCAUUUUGUCCCAGCGUCGUGGCAUCGACGUCAUCGUACGUUGGCCGCAUACGUGGCUUCUCGACCUCCGACAGGUGAGUCUUUUUAUACGAUUUUGGGGAGUUAGUUAGGUUGUGCCUCCGCCCCUAGAGGUUUGAUUUACCCCUGUGCGUUUUGUCCACAGGAGGUGUUUUGCGAAGGUGUUUUGUGACGGCUGUUUUACGAAGGCUGUUCUGUUCUAUGACGGGUGUUUUGUACAGCUGUUCUGCUACAGCUUAUUGGCAGCUGCUUCUAGUCGGCUCGGCUUCCUUCCCGCCGCCGAGGGCAAACGAGCUAGGGAGGUUUUUAUAAUACCUUUCUUAUUUUUUUUUAUAAUGCUUAACGAAUGACCAGUGGCCUUGAAUACCUGGAAUGUACCCUUAGGAUUUAAAAGUUCCAAAUACUUAUUUAUAUUUUUGUGUAACUUUGGUUUUCUUAGUAAUUAAUAAAUACAAGUAAACCA